UUGGGGUAAGACCUGGUAAUAAAUGGAAUGCUCUGGUGUUUUAAUUGGAGGUAUGGGAGGAAGUUUUCCCACUUUACUGAGGAAGGAAAAUCAACCCUCCGAGACAAUGUCCCACCUGCCUUUAGGAUUGCACGAAAAAGGAGACUUUCAAGCUGCACAGUGAUGCCGUUGGACUCUGACGAGGACCAUGUUUUCAAUAAGAGGCCUUACAGCUUUCCUUCUAAGGAGAUGGGAAGUGGAGUUACCAUGGACAAAGAUGUCUUCAGCUUGAAAGAAGACACAUCUCUCAUUUAAUCACAGUAAUUUAUUGGUACAGGCUUAAGCAUUUUAGAAUUUAAUUUAGAAUUUAAAGAAUGGAGUUAAAUGUUUUGAAACAGCUCUUGUUCUUUUUGACAAAGGCUUCCAUUUUUGUUCAAUAAAAUGUGUCUUAUAUCAACUGCUGGCUUCAUAUCAUUUUGUUGAUUCUAGAUAGAAAUAGUCUGAAAUGUCUUAACUACUGCCAAGCGUUAAGCAUGAGAUUUUUACAAAGCUUACA